rnacentral:rRNA from 1 species
GCAUAUCAAUAAGCGGAGGAAAAGAAACUAACAAGGAUUCCCCUAGUAACUGCGAGUGAAGCGGGAAAAGCUCAAAUUUAAAAUCUGGCAGUCUUUGAUUGUCCGAGUUGUAAUCUAGAGAAGUGUUAUCCGCGUUGGACCGUGUACAAGUCUCCUGGAAUGGAGCGUCAUAGAGGGUGAGAAUCCCGUCUUUGACACGGACUACCAGUGCUUUGUGAUGCGCUCUCAAAGAGUCGAGUUGUUUGGGAAUGCAGCUCAAAAUGGGUGGUAAAUUCCAUCUAAAGCUAAAUAUUGGCGAGAGACCGAUAGCGAACAAGUACCGUGAGGGAAAGAUGAAAAGAACUUUGGAAAGAGAGUUAAACAGUACGUGAAAUUGCUGAAAGGGAAACGCUUGAAGUCAGUCGCGUUGUCCGGGGAUCAACCUUGCUUUUGCUGGGUGUACUUUCCGGUUGACGGGUCAGCAUCAAUUUUGACCGUUGGAUAAAGUGUAGGGGAAUGUGGCAUCUUCGGAUGUGUUAUAGCCUCUGCUCGCAUACAACGGUUGGGAUUGAGGAACUCAGUACGCCGCAAGGCCGGGAAUUUAUUCCACGUUCGUACUUAGGAUGCUGGCAUAAUGGCUUUAAUCGACCCGUCUUGAAACACGGACCAAGGAGUCUAACAUGCCUGCGAGUGUUUGGGUGGAAAACCCGAGCGCGUAAUGAAAGUGAAAGUUGAGAUCCCUGUCGUGGGGAGCAUCGACGCCCGGACCAGACCUUUUGUGACGGAUCUGCGGUAGAGCAUGUAUGUUGGGACCCGAAAGAUGGUGAACUAUGCCUGAAUAGGGUGAAGCCAGAGGAAACUCUGGUGGAGGCUCGUAGCGAUUCUGACGUGCAAAUCGAUCGUCAAAUUUGGGUAUAGGGGCGAAAGACUAAUCGAACCAUCUAGUAGCUGGUUCCUGCCGA